AGGCUCCAGCGGGGAAGCCAGCGAAGGGGGCCCGGUGCCUGCCCCCAGGUGGCUUCCUAUUGAAUUGCAGGAGACACAGCAAGUGCCUGCACCUGGGUGUGGCUGGAGUUCAAAGGAGGUUCUGCCUGGCCUGGCCUGGAUGGGGGGGGGGGGCAGUCAAGGAAGCCUCUGGAGAAGGAAGAGCAAGGGCUCUUUCACGUGCAGUGGGUCGGAACGAGGAGAGGGCAGCCUGGAUGCGAGCUCCUGUGGGCCUUUCCGUGAGCUGACCCGGUCCAGCCAGUGGCGCAGGUGCACGUGGGGGCGGCAGCUGGACAAAGGGCCAAAGAAGGCGAAAGCGAAGGACCCCGCCUGAUGAAGGUGACAGCAGGAGCCCCGGAACAGCUUUUCCUGGGGUUGAGUUUCAUACUGGGAGCCUUGAUUCAGGCAACAUUGUUUUCAGUUGCAAAUGACAGAAGCACAACUCAACCCAGAAUGUAAACCCCGGGAGCAGGAUCUGUCUCUUUUGUGGACUGCUCUAUUUCCAGACCCUAGAAGAGUGCCUGGCAACCCAGAAGGCCCUCAGUGAGGACACAAGCAAAGGCAGCAGUUUGCAACCCGGAAGAGUGCAUUGCCAGAACUGGACCAUACUGGCACCCUGAUCUUGAAUUUUUAGCCUCCAGAACCAUGAGAAAGAAAUACCCCCCAACCCAUAGUACUUCGUUAGAGCAGCCUAAACAGACUGAGACAGUGACUGAAUUUCUACUCAUCUGCUGAACGAGUAUCGUAUCACAAACACUGCGUACAAUACCACGCAUAUUGUGUAUAGUAUCAUGUACGUUAUACUAACACUGUCUGCUUCUUAAUAGGGGUGUGCCCUUGGGCAAGUUUCUUUUGAUCAAUCUGUGCCUCAGUUUCCUUAUUUGUAUAAUGGAUCGGGGUUGUAGUGAAAAUUACAUGAGAUGCUUCUACUACCUGUAAUGUUCUCGAAGAUCAUCCCAGGGCUGCCUCCUUUUUCACAUCAAGUCUCAGUUCAAAUGACGAGUCCUCAGAGUCCCUGACUUCUCUGACCCC